ACUUAAUAGUGAGGGUAUUUAUGUAGGAGAUCCUUAAAGCGUUCCCAAGUCUCAAAAAUUUGUUCCCCAUCUAUCUAUGAGAAGCUGGUAAUUCCCUUCCUCAGCU